UGUGUUUUUUUCCAGGUUGAAGCUUUAGUGAUGAAAAGGCAACACAGUAUAGCAUUCCAGGCUGGCAAGACACCUCUUGAAUGGAAAGCCUGCAUCUCUUGGUGUCAGAUGCUGUACAGAAGAUUGCUUAAGCUGAGCUAGCUGGGAAGUUACCCUCGCAGUUUCCUGAGAGAAAUAAUGUGGUUUCAGUAAAAGAAGGGUCAGAGGGAUGACUUGGACAACCAGCCUUUGGCCCUGCAGUCUGGAUGCAUGGGCAGCAUAGCAAAGAUGGUGAUCAUCUCACUGUUUGGGAGCAGAUGAAGCAGCUUGGCGAGGUCACUGGUACAUUAGUCCCUGUAGCAUCUUCCCAGCUUCCUGGCAGGCAGUAUUUACCUGGUGUUGAGAAAUGAGUGUUCUACCCCAUGCACCCUUUCUGACAACCAGAUAAAGAACUGAAACAUGAAGCUGCCAGCAGCAGUUUCUGGUGGGCUCCAACUGUACCUCUGAGAGCAAGUGUCCAUCUUUGGGGCCUCAGCAUCUGACUUCAAGCAGGGAUUGCCCAAAGCUGAGCUCCUGCUAAGAGAGCAUGGGUAACCUUCAGGGCUUUCUGCACCAAGGAGGUCUUUAGCAGGAAGGAAAUGAAGGGAAAAACAAAACUCAGGCUUUUAGAGCAGAUGAAAACCGCCUCUCUGAUCCGAGAGCCAGGAUUAGCUGUACCCGUGUACAGAAUAGGAGGAAGAAGCAAUCAUUUCCUCAGGCCUCUUUGUGCUUGUUAAAUAAUGAAUGUCUCUCUAGGUCUAUAAGACUAGUUUAAGCUUGAGCACCUGGAAAGCUUUAGGUUGCAUAUAGGCCAAAGAAAACAUGGGUUUGCUAUUAAAAGCAAUCUCAUUUUAUCUCGUCAUCUUACCUACGCGUUUCUUGCAGCCCAUGCUAAUGUUUGCAAAGGUGAGUUUCUUUUUCUUUCCCUUUUCCUCACAUGGAAUUAUUUAGUUGGCCACAGGUAACAGAAGGUCUCUGGAGAACACCUGACCUCACUAGAGAGAAAUGUCCUGCUCUGGGUACAGAAGGUAAAAAAUCUCAUUUAGCUUAUUGCAACUUGUGGUCACCCUCUGGAACAGCAAUACCAGUGCUGAGAGCAGUGAUGUAUGACUCUGUACAGACCUGGCUGGUGGAGUCAUCAGGACCUGAUACUGGCAAUCCCCAGCAAAGUUUCUGAGCUGACCAUAAGCAAGACAGGCGCCACUGUGGGAUGGGAACUCUGUUAUGAGGUGACAGGAAGGAAAUCUCAACCUACCGCCAAUAGCACAAGGGAAGAAACAUACCUUUUCGUAAUGAACUGAAGUAAGUGUGAGGCUGUGAAUGACUCUAUCCUUUUUUUCUUUUUUUUUUCCCCAGUGUUACUUCAUAGAGCACCUGUAAAAGAUAAGGUCUUCCACAGAGUUUGUUUCUCCUUAACUUCAGGAAUUUAUAAUAGGGAAAGAUGCCCCUGAUCCAGUAUGUCACUGGUUAAUCAAAGGAUAUCCUGUCUGUAAAUCUGCCCUUGUAAGAAGGUGUCCUACAAGUGGGUGAAGGCUGUUGGAUGCUGUGCUGCUUUUAGUGCCCAGCUUUCACUAGUUGCACUUGUCCUUCACUGAGAUGCUGAUAACAAAGCCAGGGCUCUACUGACGGAGUCCUUACUUCAGUUAACCUGCUAGCAUUUCAUGCAAGGUGAAUCAUUUUUGCUUUUGGGGAUUGCUUUUAUCUAUAGUUUAAGCAUUAAUAGUCUAUUUAAUAUUGGUGAAUUAGCAGUAGAACGAGGAAAUAACUUGGUAAAUUAACCCUUUCAAACUGAGGCGUCCAAAGUUAUGUAUACAGCGCAGCAACUUGGUUUCCAAAUGCUUUGGAAUGAAUGUUGGCCUGGUUUCCAUUAGCCUUUUUGUGUCUGACUAUCCCUUGCCACCCAAAUCUGGAAGCUGAAGCUGGACACUAGCCAGGGGUGAGGCAGGUGGAGCCAGCCCAGCAGCUAGGCUAAGGAAGGGAAGGAAGGGCCUCCAGGAUACACCCUGGUUGAUGCUGGAAGGGAGGAAGCCUGCAGCCUCUUCACAAUGAGCACCAUCUUGGGCAGGCUGUGCACAGGAGUGAUGCUGUCUCUCCACAGUGACCUUGGGAGCUAGGUGUAGUGGUGAGGGAGGUGAAAGGCUGGAGUAAUAACUGCUAAUGCACUGCGAAGGGGCUUGGGCUCUGGAAACUGUUACCAUUAGAUUUUACUUGGUUUGGAGAAAAUAUUCCCAUUCCAUCUAUGUUGCUGGUAACAGCUGGUCUAUCCACAGGCUCUGUGGCAGGCUGUGUUUGCCAGCAUCCUUCCCUUGCCUGUCUGCUCUUGCUCGUGUUUAUGGUAGAAGAAGAAAGAGAUGUUAGGAGAGAUACAGCCUUUAAAAGACACAUGUCUCCAGGUCUCUUACUCCCAUGCCUCUGAUGGGAAUAUUUUUCCAGGCUUUUCAGGUGUGCAGCUGUUGUAGAUAGCCCUUGGUACCCUAGCUGUUAAUUUAGAGAGCUAAUAGAGCUGCUCUCUUUCCUCAGCCCCUGGAAAGCUGGCACAAAGGGCUCUCAGCGCAGCACUGGGAAGAAGCUAUUUUUACUUUGACUGUUGUUUUCUCCUGCAGCAUUUCAGCUGGGAACAGGCUUGAUCUGCUAUCCCAAACAGAGAGGACCCAUGGUUUUCCUGCAUGGUUGAUGGAAAGCAAAAUCUGCAUGGCAUCCCUGGCAGGGCUGGGGGGAGCCACAGCAGCAGUCAGAAGAGGGAAACCCAGAUUUCUCCACUGACUCCAAAACCAGAGCUAAUUGCAGGAAAGGGCAAGGUGCGAAUGGAAAGCAUGCUGUGCUGCUGCACCCCAGCAAGCCCUGACAUGCUGGGGUGGGAAAGGCUCCUAGACAGGAGCCCAGCAUCACCCUCAGGUCUGCUGCUCAGUGGAGCACUCACAGCUCCCUGGUGACCAGCUGGGAGAGGCUAAGGAACUCUGAUUCGGCAGCCUUCCCAUGCUUCAUCAGGCAAAGUCUGUGUCUUGGGAAUGGCUGUUGUGCGGAGUUAUUGCAGGGCUUAGGAGUGUUUGCUGUGGCUUGUGCUCCCUGCUGUGCCUGCUGCUGUCAAUGAUGAAUAAAGUGGGAUGAUUCCUGCUCUCAAAACAGUGAACCUUUGCGGGUUAAGUGAUUAAUGGAGCUGUUCCUACUUUUAUUCCUACAAGGUCAAACCAUUUGUUUUCCUGGGAUAUGCUAAUAUAAUCUAUUUUUUUAUUCUUUUUCAGCCGUCUCUUUAAAAAAAAAUCAUUCUUGGAGGUUUGUUUGAGGAAGCGUUGCAGAUAUGCUUCUACGUGACAAAUUUAUGCAUACCAUCACUGAUCUGAAUUCAGCCCUGAACUACAGUAAUAACUGAUAGGUUGCAAUGUUUAUAAACAUGGCUUUGAGGUUUAAAUUUAAGAGACAGGCAUAGGAAAUAGAUCUUAUCACAACACACUGUAGCCAAGUACUAUCCCAAUAAAGACAAAUAAGGAAAACAAAUUUUAUAUCUGGACAUUAACAUUCUCCCAGAUGUUGGGUACCAUCUGCCAGAAAUUUUUAGCUCUAAAGUAAGCUGCUUUGUAGUGCCUAUAAAACAGGUGAUUUCUUCCCCUCUUCCUCCCCUGCCACUUUUACAAAGAAAGGAUAUAGAUAAUAGUAACUCAGGGUGAAAACUUUCUGUUGGUGUAUGUGGAAAACAGCAUGGCACAUUCAGGGGGACUUGGCUGCAUGUGCACCACCAAGCUGAGCACUGAGAGGACUAAGUUGAAUCCACUCUAGCAGUGAGCAGAAGUAGAGCCUCAGUUCCAGCUUCCCAUCACAGGUGCAAUGGAAGGUGGUGCUGCAGCCAGGGAGGAAUCUGCUGCUCCACUGUCAUUCCCACCUCUGGGCUACCCCAACCAUCAGCACUGCUGGGAAGGAGUUUUGUAGGAUGAUGUAGCACUCCUGGGCCUGCAGUAUUGGCAUCAUCAAACGAAUUUCUGGGAAUCUAAUUUAGAGGAACAUAAAAGAACCCAUACCACCUCUAGGGCAUCCACCAGUGCUGCUGGUUGGUAGGUUGU